UACAGAGGUCUCAAGCGUUGUUCGGAUUCAUUGGGCGUAAAGGGUGCGUAGGUGGCGCCGUAAGUCAGGUGUGAAAUUUCGGAGCUUAAACUCCGAAACUGCAUUUGAUACUGCGGUGCUUGAGGACUGGAGAGGAGACUGGAAUUUACGGUGUAGCAGUGAAAUGCGUAGAGAUCGUAAGGAAGACCAGUGGCGAAGGCGGGUCUCUAGUACGGUACUGACGCUGAGACGCGAAAGCGUGGGGAGCGAACAGG
rnacentral:rRNA from 1 species